rnacentral:rRNA from 1 species
GUCUAUGGCCAUGCCACCGUGAACGUGCCCGAUCUCAUCUGAUCUCGGAAACUAAGCAGGGUCGGGCCUGGUUAGUACUUAGAUGGGAGACUAUCUAGAAAUACCAGGUUCUAUAGGCA